UACAGAGGGUGCGAGCGUUGUCCGGAAUCACUGGGCGUAAAGGGCGCGUAGGUGGUUUGAUAAGGGUGUGGUGAAAGUCCGGAGCUCAACUCCGGAUCUGCCGUGCCGACUGUCAAACUCGAGGGCUGUAGAGGCAGACGGAAUUCCGGGUGGUAGCGGUGGAAUGCGUAGAGAUCCGGAGGAAGACCGGUGGCGGAAGGCGGUCGUGCCUGGGCGAGUUUCGUGA
rnacentral:rRNA from 1 species